rnacentral:rRNA from 1 species
ACCAGUACCGUGAGGGAAAGGUGAAAAGAACCCCUGUCAGGGGAGUGAAAGAGAAUCUGAAACCUGGUGCUUACAAGCUGUGGGAGCCGUACUUGUACGGUGACCAUGUGCCUUUUGCAUAAUGAGUCAGCGAGUUAAUCUGUACAGCAAGGUUAAGCGUAAGUGAAGCCGCAGCGAAAGCGAGUCCGAACAGGGCCACAGUUGUGCGGAUUAGACCCGAAACCGGGUGAUCUAUCCAUGAGCAGGUUGAAGCAAGGGUAAAGCCUUGUGGAGGACCGAACCAGUUCUGGCUGAAAACAGUUUGGAUGACUUGUGGAUAGGGGUGAAAGGCCAAUCAAACCCGGUGAUAGCUGGUUCUCCCCGAAAUAUAUUGAGGUAUAGCCUUGCGGAUUGUCUUAUGGAGGUAAAGCUCUGACAGAACUAGGGGUCCUAUCCGACUACCGAAUUCUUUCAAACUCUGAAUACCAUUAAGAUUUACCGCAGGAGUCAGACGGCGGGUGCUAAGGUUCGUCGUCAAAAGGGCAACAGCCCAGACCGACAGCUAAGGCCUCCAAAUGCAUGCUCAGUGGUUAAGGUGGUGGCGUUGUGCAGACACCCAGGACGUUGGCUUAGAAGCAGCCAUCGUUUAAAGAAAGCGUAAUAGCUCACUGGUUCAAUGGCGCUGCGCCGAAAAUGUAACGGGGCUAAGCAUGCUGCCGAAGCUUCGGAUUUGUCUCUGACAACUGGUAGGGGAGCGUUCUCUGCGGGCUGAAGCGGAACCGAAAGGUUUCGUGGACUGCAGAGAAGUGAUUAUGCUGACAUGAGUAACGAUAAAAUAUGUGAAAAACAUAUUCGCCGUAAAUCCAAGGUUUCCUGGGUAAAGGUAAUCUUCCCAGGGUUAGUCGGACCCUAAGGCCAGGCUGAAAGGCGUAGCUGAUGGGAAACGGGUUAAUAAUCCUGUACUUGUGCGAUUGUGCGAAGAAGGGACGCAGGAUGGUAGACAGGCCGGUUUUUGGAAUCCGGUGCAAGUGCGUAGGCGUGCUCCGCAGGCAAAUCCGCGGAGAUGAGCCGAGACACGAGUCCGUGGGCGUAAGCCCUGAAGCUGUUGAGCCACGGCUGCCAAGAAAAGCUUCUAAGUUUAGAUCGCGCGAACCGUACCGCAAACCAACUCAGGUGGAUGGGAUGAAUAAUCCAAGGCGCUCGAGAGAACUCUGGCCAAGGAACUCGGCAAAUUGACCCCGUACCUUCGGAAUAAGGGGUGCUCCCCAUGGUGAGACAAAUUCUUGUUCAGCCCCGGGGAGCCGCAGAGAAAUGGUGGUGGCGACUGUUUACUAAAAACAUAGGUCUGUGCGAAGUCCUACAGACGACGUAUACGGACUGACGCCUGCCCGGUGCCGGAAGGUUAAAAGGAGGAGUCAGCGCAAGCGAAGCUCCGAUUUGAAGCCCCGGUAAACGGCGGCCGUAACUAUAACGGUCCUAAGGUAGCGAAAUUCCUUGUCGGGCAAGUUCCGACCUGCACGAAUGGCGUAACGAUCUCCACGCUGUCUCGGCCAGAGACUCGGUGAAAUUGAAGUCGCGGUGAAAAUGCCGUGUACCCGCAGAAAGACGGAAAGACCCUGUGCACCUUUACUAUAGCUUGACAUUGGGUUUUGAACCUGCAUGUGUAGGAUAGGUGGGAGGCUGUGAAAGCUGUACGCCAGUAUGGCCGGAGCCACCCGUGAAAUACCACCCUUGUUUGUUCAGGACCCUAACUCGCCGCUGUAAUCCAGCGCGAAGACAGUGUCUGGUGGGUAGUUUGACUGGGGCGGUCGCCUCCUAAAGAGUAACGGAGGCAUGCAAAGGUUCCCUCAGGCUGAUUGGAAACCAGCCGUUGAGUGCAAGCGCAUAAGGGAGCUUGACUGCAAGAGAGACAUCUCGAACAGAUACGAAAGUAGGUGCUAGUGAUCCGGUGGUCCCGAAUGGAAGGGCCAUCGCUCAUUGG